GAUGAACGCUGGCGGCGUGCCUAAUACAUGCAAGUCGAGCGAAUGGAUUAAGAGCUUGCUCUUAUGAUGUUAGCGGCGGACGGGUGAGUAACACGUGGGUAACCUGCCCAUAAGACUGGGAUAACUCCGGGAAACCGGGGCUAAUACCGGAUAAUAUUUUGAACUGCAUGGUUCAAAAUUGAAAGGCGGCUUCGGCUGUCACUUAUGGAUGGACCCGCGUCGCAUUAGCUAGUUGGGGAGGUAACGGCUCACCAAGGCAACGAUGCGUAGCCGACCUGAGAGGGUGAUCGGCCACACUGGGACUGAGACACGGCCCAGACUCCUACGGGAGGCAGCAGUAGGGAAUCUUCCGCAAUGGACGAAAGUCUGACGGAGCAACGCCGCGUGAGUGAUGAAGGCUUUCGGGUCGUAAAACUCUGUUGUUAGGGAAGAACAAGUGCUAGUUGAAUAAGCUGGCACCUUGACGGUACCUAACCAGAAAGCCACGGCUAACUACGUGCCAGCAGCCGCCGUAA
rnacentral:rRNA from 1 species